CCAUUUUGUCGAUCGAGAAGUGCACGAGGAGAAGCUUCUCCGACGGCGAGCUCCAUUAGCAGCAUAGUUUUCGACAAAAUAGUUAAAAAACAACGCUCUUUACAAUGCCGAGGAGCUGCUGCGUCAUCGGUUGUUUUGCCAGCAAAGCAAUGCAGCCGGAGAAGAAAUUUGACAAAAGACGUUUUCUUUUAUUGGCUACUCCAAAAAUAACGAGUUGGAACCAACCCGUUCCGCGCGACACGUGAAGUCAGAAUCGUCGCCAUGGGUUCUUCCUUGCUUUAUGAUGUUCACAGGCCAUUUGAACACGUGGACACACACUUCUGAUGAUGGAUGACAUUUUGCCUGGUUAAGCAAGAAGAGAAACAGGAUGAACUGCCUCAUCUGCUGGCCAUGAUGGACAAAGUCGACAUGCCACUAAGAAGAGUGAUCACUCAUGUUUGCCUGAGGGAAAACAAAUGUUUCAGAAGGUUGCCGGAGUAAAAUGUCUCACGGCAGGACAAAGUCGACGUUACCUGUGGCAACAAAACCUGCCAGGACUUGGAUUCAGUGAAACUGAAAACUCAUUUUGCAUUACUGUAUCAUGGAUAAUCAUUAAAACAUUUUCACAUGA